AUUAGGGCAUGCAAUACCGGUUAACCGGUUUCGUUUUUACCGGUAAAUCGCCCAUUUUUGCGAGUUUUAAAUUACCGGUAAAAAUUAAAUGAAACCGGUAAUUUACCGGUUUUUACGUUUUUCUGAUAAAAUAUAGCAAUUGUUCAUUUAACGUCAAAUCUUUGUUAUGUAGCCUGAAUAUAAUGUAAUGUUGCAUACAUUACGUAUUGUAAGAGUGUUAAAGUUGCUGUUUUUUAGGAAAGUAAACUUGUGUGUCCUUAACUAUCUCUAGGUUAGAUACAAAUCUUCUUUCUCAUCUUAAUUUAUAAAAUCUAAACAAAUUGUAUUCAUUCGGUUAUUCUGUUUUUCCUCAUAGCUGUCAGCUCAUACUAGGUACAAAUGUAGCUAAUGCUUAUUUUACCUACUCUAUGACCUUACUGAGCAAGGGCUUUUACUUCACCACCAUGCGGACAGCUCUGAGGACACGGUGGAGCACACAGUCCAGGUGUGCACUGCCUGGGAAGGGUACCGCCGUGUUGUCAUCAGCGGCGACCUUUCGCGUCCUUCCCUGGUUCAAGCUUCCAUGGUCCGGAGCUAGAGGGAAUGGGAAGUCGUCGCCUCCUUCUGCGAAGCAGUCAUGCUCGAGAAAGAGACGGCGGAGCGACUGCGAGUAGCACCUCUCAUCAAAGCCGCUGUAGUGGACCAGGGAGACACCACGGGCGCCAAGGGUCGAGAAACGACUCCCGGCCACCAUAGGCGUCGGUUUGUGGGCGGUGAGUUCGGGUGGCUCAUCGUUCCACCGUCUGCAUAGACAACAGACCCGUGUCAGUGGACUGCUUUGUUCCACGGACUCCUCAGGGAGAUGUCAGCAAACCCAGUGGGGCCCAGCAGGGCCAAGGCCUGCCGGGGCCGCGGGAUUGUUCGAAAGAGUUACCGCGACCCUGGUCCAUAAAACGCCUACUAAAAACAUGGGUAGACAGAAAGAGUCUGUCAUUUGAUGAUUUACCACAAAAAAGGGCUUUCACUUCAAUGAAAAAUAUAUAUUUUUUCGGUAAUUCUUAGCCUUUAUCCCGUCUUGUGACGGGGUCGGUUUUCCGUAUCUUCCUUCUUCCACUUCGCUCUAUCCUCCUGAAUAGACAUCUUCCUCUUCGAGUUCGCAGAUUUUCAUGUCAUUCAUUACGACACUCAACCACCACCGUUUCGACCUGCCUUUGCGCCUUUGACCGGGUAUAUUGAGAUUGAGUACUUAUCACAUUCACACUGCCGAUGUCCUCAGGUGUCACUCCUUUUUACAU
rnacentral:lncRNA from 1 species